GCUAGCAUAUUAUAUUAACCCAAGUUUUCAAAUUGGUUUAGAUCAAAGUGUUUCAGCAAACCUAGACCAGUUGCCUUUGACCUAAUGGGAUUGGGUCAAUUUAAAUUGGAACCUUAUCCAACUUAAACCAAUUUUAAGUCGAGAAGGACUCCUCUAUGCCCACCAAAAUUCAUGACAAAAAAUAAAUACCACCCCUUUAUUUUUGGCAU
rnacentral:lncRNA from 1 species